rnacentral:rRNA from 1 species
GAGUAACACGUGGGUAACCUGCCCGGAAGUGGGGAAUACCUCGGGGAAACUCGAGCUAAUACCGCAUGACAUCUUCGGAACGAGAGUUCUGACGAUCAAAGCGGGGUCGCAAGACCUCGCGCUACCGGAUGGGCCCGCGCCCGAUUAGCUAGUUGGCGAGGUAAUGGCUCACCAAGGCUUCGAUCGGUAACCGGCCUGAGAGGGCGAUCGGUCACACCGGAACUGAGACACGGUCCGGACUCCUACGGGAGGCAGCAGUGGGGAAUUUUGCGCAAUGGGGGAAACCCUGACGCAGCAACGCCGCGUGGAGGAUGAAGUCCCUUGGGAUGUAAACUCCUUUCGAUCGGGACGAUAAUGACGGUACCGGAAGAAGAAGCACCGGCUAACUCUGUACCAGCAGCCGCGGUAAUACAGAGGGUGCAAGCGUUGUUCGGAAUUAUUGGGCGUAAAGGGCGCGUAGGCGGUGUGGUAAGACUGUGGUGAAAUCUCCGGGCUCAACUCGGAAAUUGCCGCGGUGACUGCCGUGCUGGAGUGUGGGAGAGGUGAGUGGAAUUCCCGGUGUAGCGGUGAAAUGC